rnacentral:rRNA from 1 species
AUUACCCGCUGAACUUAAGCUUAUCAAUAAGCGGAGGAAAGAAACCAACAGGGAUUACCUCAGUAACGGCGAGUGAAGCGGUAACAGCUCAAAUUUGAAAUCUGCCGCAAGGCCGAGUUGUAAUUCGUAGAAGAUGCUUUGGGUAUGGCCCCGGUCCAAGUUCGUUGGAACACGACGUCAUAGAGGGUGAGAAUCCCGUAUGUGACUGGGUGCUUUUGCCUAUGUAAAGCUCUUUCGACGAGUCGAGUUGUUUGGGAAUGCAGCUCAAAAUGGGUGGUAUAUUUCAUCUAAAGCUAAAUAUUGGCCAGAGACCGAUAGCGCACAAGUAGAGUGAUCGAAAGAUGAAAAGCACUUUGGAAAGAGAGUUAAACAGUACGUGAAAUUGUUGAAAGGGAAGCGCUUGCAACCAGACUUGCACGCUGUUGAUCAUCCAGGCUUCUGUUUGGUGCACUCAACUGUGUUCAGGCCAGCAUCGGUUUUGGUGGUGGGAUAAAGGCCUUGGGAAUGUAGCUUCUUUCGGGGAGUGUUAUAGCCCUCGGUGCAAUGCCGCCUACUGGGACCGAGGACCGCGCUUCGGCUAGGAUGCUGGCGUAAUGGUUGUAAGCGACCCGUCUUGAAACACGGACCAAGGAGUCUAACAUCUAUGCGAGUGUUUGGGUGUCAAACCCAUACGCGUAAUUAACGUGAACGGAGGUGAGAACCCUUAAGGGUGCAUCAUCGACCGAUCCUGAUGUCUUCGGAUGGAUUUGAGUAAGAGCAUAGCUGUUGGGACCCGAAAGAUGGUGAACUAUGCCUGAAUAGGGUGAAGCCAGAGGGAACUCUAGUGGAGGCUCGCAGCGGUUCUGACGUGCAAAUCGAUCGUCAAAUUUGGGUAUAGGGGCGAAAGACUAAUCGAACCAUCUAGUAGCUGGUUCCUGCCGAAGUUUCCCU